rnacentral:tRNA from 1 species
GCCCCCGUAGGCCAACCGGCAGAGCCAAUGGAUUCAAAACCCAUUCAGUGUGCGUUCGAAUCGCACCGGGGGCAC